rnacentral:rRNA from 1 species
GACGAACGCUGGCGGCGUGCUUAACACAUGCAAGUCGAACGGAAAGGCCCCCUUGUGGGGUACUCGAGUGGCGAACGGGUGAGUAACACGUGAGUAACCUACCCUUGACUUUGGGAUAACUUCAGGAAACUGGGGCUAAUACCGGAUAGGAGCUCCUGCUGCAUGGUGGGGGUUGGAAAGUUUCGGCGGUUGGGGAUGGACUCGCGGCUUAUCAGCUUGUUGGUGGGGUAGUGGCUCACCAAGGCUUUGACGGGUAGCCGGCCUGAGAGGGUGACCGGCCACAUGGGAACAGAGAGCGGCCCAAGACCCCAACGGGAGGCAGGGGGGGGAAAUUUUGCACAAGGGGCGGAGGCCGGAGGCAGCACCGCCGGGGGGGGGAGGACGGCCUUGGGGUUGUAAACCGCUUCCGCCGGUGACGAAGCGUGAGGAGGGGGAAUGGGAAAAAAAGCACGGGCAAACUACGG